rnacentral:rRNA from 1 species
CACAUGCAAGUCGAGGGAGAGGUUACCUUCGGGUAACUGAAACCGGCGCACGGGUGCGUAACGCGUAUACAAUCUGCCUUUCACAUAGGGAUAGCCCGAAGAAAUUUGGACUAAUACCUAAUGGUAUAUAAGAGCGGCAUCGUUUUUAUAUUAAAGCUACGGUGGUGAAAGAUGAGUAUGCGUUCUAUUAGCUAGUUGGAGAGGUAACGGCUCCCCAAGGCGACGAUAGAUAGGGGUUCUGAGAGGGAUGUCCCCCACACUGGUACUGAGAUACGGACCAGACUCCUACGGGAGGCAGCAGUGAGGAAUAUUGGACAAUGGUCGGAAGACUGAUCCAGCCAUGCCGCGUGCAGGAUGAAGGUCCUAUGGAUUGUAAACUGCUUUUGUAAGGGAAGAAUAAGGGGUACGUGUACUUUGAUGACGGUACCUUACGAAUAAGCAUCGGCUAACUCCGUGCCAGCAGCCGCGGUAAUACGGAGGAUGCGAGCGUUAUCCGGAAUCAUUGGGUUUAAAGGGUCCGUAGGCGGGCUGAUAAGUCAGAGGUGAAAGCGCUUAGCUCAACUAAGCAACUGCCUUUGAAACUGUCAGUCUUGAAUGAUUGUGAAGUAGUUGGAAUGUGUAGUGUAGCGGUGAAAUGCUUAGAUAUUACACAGAACACCGAUAGCGAAGGCAUAUUACUAACAAUUUAUUGACGCUGAUGGACGAAAGCGUGGGGAGCGAACAGGAUUAGAUACCCUGGUAGUCCACGCUGUAAACGAUGGAUACUAGCUGUUUGGAGCAAUCUGAGUGGCUAAGCGAAAGUGAUAAGUAUCCCACCUGGGGAGU